UUCGGGCAGCCAGUUUUAGCCUCAAUCUGUCGAUUCAAAUGAGAAGUCGCUCGAAUGUAGUAUCGUGUUAACAGACCGUUAACAAACUUGGGAGAGAAAAUCACCAUUCUUCUACAUCGCGUCGUUCGGUUAUUUCUGCAAACGGUAAAAGCAACGGUAACGAGAUUACAGAGUGGUCAUUUGCGACAUCAUUCACUGCCGCGAUACGUGGCCUCGGUUGACUAAUUGAUUGCCAGCAAAACAAUAGAGUAUAGCCUUUCGAUCAAUUAUCGCCUACACAAUUUUCUGACGUUACUUCAAUCAUGCAUUCGUUACCAUAAUGGAUGAGAAUUUAAUCGUCAUUUUAAUCGGAGAAUUACCUCGAAACCUAACGGACAUAACAUUCGACAGCUAUGAGCUGGACAUUUUCUAGGAUUGUCGCAGUCGAUAACAUCUUUGCUGGACCCUCUGGUACCAGGAACUUCAGCGCCGAUUUUGUCGACGCACCAGCACCUGUUCUCACGGGGAUGGCAUUAGCACAUUCGGCUGGUUUUGAAGAAGCGAGCCUGUGGUUUAUGGGUCUCGGUUACAAGGAACACACCUUUAUUGGUCAGGCAUCAUCACGAUCCUCGUGUAUCCCAGCUUGCCUUUGUUCGAUGAAUCAAAGUGUAGCGCAACGACGACGGGAAAUAAUAAUAAAAAUAGCCGGGGAGUCGAGGUAACGGUUCUUCGCAUCCUACUGCCACACUUACUACGCUUACCUAACGUGAUACGAGCACAUUUCCAGAACAAACUCGGCUGAGUCAGACGUUGCGGACUGCCUGAUGGGUCGUAGCUAUAGGCGAGAA